UACAGAGGUCUCAAGCGUUGUUCGGAUUCAUUGGGCGUAAAGGGUGCGUAGGUGGCGCGGUAAGUCGGGUGUGAAAUCUCGGAGCUUAACUCCGAAAUUGCAUUCGAUACUGCCGUGCUCGAGGACUGGAGAGGGGACUGGAAUUCAUGGUGUAGCAGUGAAAUGCGUAGAGAUCAUGAGGAAGACCAGUGGCGAAGGCGGGUCUCUGGACAGUUCCUGACACUGAGGCACGAAGGCCAGGGGAGCAAACGGG
rnacentral:rRNA from 1 species